CAGGUGAUGCUCACAAUUCUAACUCCAAUUGGAGCUAGGUGAUGUGCAGUAUUUGCAUUUACUUUCAGAGACCAAUGUUACAUGCAUUCUGAAUUUUCAUAAGGUCUGAAAUAAGGGAAGGACAAUACAUAUUUGACAUACCCACUAUAGCAAAUAGCAUUGGAGUUGGGGCAACCGUCCUAUCCAACCAUUUACAGAACUUGAAGGUUUCAGGAAGUAUGACUUACAAUGGUCAUGGCAUGCACAAGUUUGUGCCUCAGAGGACUGCAGUAUAUAUUGGUCAACAUGAUGUUCAUAUUGCAGAAAUGACAGUAGCAGAGACCUAGGAUAUGCUAGCAGAGCUAAGUAGAAGAGAGAAAGAUGCUAGUAUCAAGCUAGAUCCUGCCUUGGAUAUCUACAUGAAGGGAGUAGCAUAAGAAAGCCAAAGGGCAACGUUUCUGACAAAUUACAUUCUUAAGGUUUUGGGAUUGGAAGACUAUGCAGAUACCUUGGUAGGGGAUCAAUUGAUAAGGGGUAUCUCUGGAGGACAAAGGAAGCGAGUUACAACUGGUGAAAUGUUGGUUGGACCUGCGAAGGCACUAUGCAUGAAUGAAAUAUCAACCGGUUUGGAUAGUUCAACAACUUAUCAUAUAGUGAAUUCCAUCAAGUAAUAUGUUCACAAUCUCCAAGGGACUGCAUUCAUCUCAUUACUGCCAUUUGUAAUAUGUUUAAUUGUAAUAUUUUUUAGUAUUUUUUUCUUUUUGGUAAACCUGUAAUCGAAAUAAUUAAAAAUUUUGGCUGCGAAAUUUGCUUGCCAUUUUUUUAUUUUUAUAAAAAUGCUUAGCGACGGCAAUUUUACUGUC